UCAUCCAGUUCUUCCGGGAGGAAAGGGGAAUUCUUCACUCCUUCGCGACGCAUCUACGUACUACACAAGGGGUGGACUAAGAGCCCAUUGGUUCUACCUUCUUUUCUUUGUCGGCGACAAGGGAUCUCUCAACCCCCGCUAAGCAUCCAUAGCUAAAUGGUUCAACAUUUGAAGUUCUUUCCAAAUGGUUCAACAUUUGAAGUUCUUUCCUUGGUCUUCAUUCAGUGAAAGGAGUGAAGCUUUCCGCAACUGGAAAGCGGAGACCCACGAAGGCGAGAUGAUCCCAAAGCGAGAAUGAAGCUAGAGCCAUUACUUGACCAAGAACGUGAGAGGAUUGAACACACCUUCCCCGGACCGGGUGGAUACACUUUUUGACCCUUCCCAGGAUUGAACUACGGGAUCGAUCUCUUAUUUACCAAGAUAUGAAAGCCACGAGCCACUUUCUUUUGAUGUGCUGUCAUGAUCACAUUCUCAGUUUCAUACGAGAUUCCUAGUUUAGCUUACGGGGUCAAAGUCUUCUUUGGACUUUUCCAAUUCUAUUUCUUUUUCAUCAAUCGGGGCGAGAGGGAGCUGCUUCGAGGAGGCGACACCCACUAGUUUUGUCCGGAUCAAACUCUCCCCAAAGCAGGUAGGUGAGAAGGGCUCGGCUCCAUGCAGGUCUUUCACCAACGGCUGGCACUGAAUUAGCGCGAUGCGAAAGAGUCCGGGCUUAGUCGGCGGGGAUAAGAUUCUAUUCUCGGAGUCAGAACUACUCCUAUGCAAGGCUGUCGUCUCAUGCUACUAGGGCGGCUCCCUUCUCUUUAAUCAAUUAGGGGUGGUAGGCGCCUGUAAAGAAGAUCGCUUCUAUUACUACACAAGUCGAUAAGUCCGAACUCUAACAACUUCAAGGACUAGGAAGGCCCCUUUUUACUCAUCCGGAUUUCCCUUUCAUAUAGGUGCUCCAGAAAGAAGAUUGGAUUCGACAAGAGUCUCAGCGAGAAUAGGCAGCUUUAGCAUCAAGCACAUCAUCAUACCGACAGUCAUCCGAACGAGAGUCUCCCAUUUGAAUUCCCUGAGCAAGCUCUCCUCUUCCACGUUGCUGGAAAGGGCUUAGCCGCCUUUGGACAAGGACCCUUGGACCAUUUACCCGGCCUCUCUAUCCAGCUUUUUUCCUUCAACGACUCUAAGAAAUAAUGGUCUCGAACAUAGGGGAAUUCAGAUGAAAGCUCCGGUCCUUGAAUGAACGACUUAGCCCCUUGCACACUAAGGUGCCUUAGCCUAUCCAUACCCAGCCACACCCAAAGGGGAGCGCCUGCCCAACUAUCCGAUCUUGUUUUCCCUUUCCGGGUAGUUCUUCUCAUUGACAACAAUAGGUAUCGUCCAUAACCAAAGAAAUUCUUUUUCAAAGGAGGUAAUUUGUUCGCUCCAAACACGACUUGCUUGUAAUUUAUCCUUCAAUCCCAAAAAAGCAAGAAUGAAUGACCAAACCCGACCCAAUUUCCUUAUUUUCUUAUUCCCGCCAGGCGCUGUUAAGCCCUUCACCUCCUUCUGAUGAUCAUUCCACUUCUUCGUUGCGGGAACAUCUCUCUACAUAAAAGAGGGAACGAAGGCCCCGACCAAUCAUCGUGAAGAGAACCAAUAAGAGCCAAAGUUGGUGAUGAAAAGACCUUCUCUCUGGCCCCCUUUUCUUGCAGCUUUCGGACUUGGCCGAUCAUGAAGAAGAUCAUCCUCGCUCGGUCAUGGGUUGAUAAAUAAAGGAAAAAGCCUUCUCUGGAGCAUGCUCAUGACAAGAUCCAGAACUCCUACUUUGAAGGUUGGCAGCGCAAGACCCANCCUUCGACGGCCGCAUGGAAGAAAGAAAGUAGUUUUGUUCUAAAGUCGAGAUUUUUAAACUAUAGACGACCAUCUUCGCGAGAAAGGUCUCGAUCCCUUCCCACCUUAGAUCGAGCUAGCAUGGCAGCCGGGGCUUCUUCCCCAGAAAUCAUUACCAUCCAGCUGGACUUUGAAAGUCGAUCUACGGUGCCUUUCCCUAUCGCCUUCUUUUUGGUAGUCGUAAGCUAGAGCCCCUAUGGUAUGGUGGCAUCAAAAGCUAACCAUUAGGUUCGUAUUGCCAAUUUGAGUACUUUUUCCACUAAGCGAGAAGGGCCCUCAAUCGGACGAGCACAAAUCACUCCUUUUCUCAAGUGGGAAAGACGCUUUGAUAUGGAUGGAUCUACUACGCAAGUAGCAUACUCGAAUCAAGCAACAUCUCAUUUGGUUCAAAGCGAGUCCAGGAAUAUCUGACAGGUUGGGUGGACGGUCUCUCAAGCGAUUCNAUCUUUUGCAUCUUGUGGUGAAGGGAAGCCCAGUUAUUAGUAGCAAAAAGAGAAAGAUGAAGGGCUUCGCUCCCAGGUUGAUGGAUCAAGAAAUGAAUGAAAGGUUGGAAGAUCCUGCCCAGGGGGAGAAGUCUCAAUGGGAUGCAUUUGCAGAGAGAAAGAGAGAUGCCGCUGCUACCAAAGGUGCACCCCGACAAAGCUACACUGCCUGAGGAAUCAUCCCAUUUUCUCAUAUGAAGUCUAUCAGCGGUGCUAUUUACUAUUCUUUCUAGUUCUAACUUGGGAAGCUGAUCUCGAUCUCAAGAGAAACGUGAUGAUCAUUCAAAAGGAGAAGGAUCAGACAAAAGAAGGUGGUGACGACGGCCCGGGUGGAUAAGAUGGGAUUCUGACCUCCACACCUGGACGGAGUGGUGACUUUGAGAGGUAGAGAGAUUUUAAGCCUAAGCAGAGAUCUUUCUUCAAAUUCUUGGUCUUACAGGUUGGUGACCGAUCAAUCAGUCUCUACGACCGGAUCCAGUCUGAGAGAUGAGCUAGCUUUCUUUCGGGUGUGAGUGGAGCAGAAUGAGUGUGAAUUAAGGGUGUGAUUGCUUUGAUGGAAAGAGUAGCACUCCCGAUAAAUCGAUAUCCGGGGGAAAGAAAUCCAUAUCCCUCUAAUAGUAGCAGACUGCGAAGUUGAAAAUCGAAGGGGAACCAGAAAUCUUGAUCCAUGGUCCCCCGGCUUGAAGUUGAAGCAGACGUCCAGAGGUGCCUUUCUUGAUGGAAUGAAAGAAAUGCCGACCUAUAAUUCCUGGUCAUGAAGUGGAAAAGAAAGAAGUAGCAUGGAAAGGAGGUGCGCUGGAAGUGGAAAGAUUUUUUAUUUCAAAAUUUUGUAUUAAGAUGGAUUUGAUUUCAAGCCUUCUCUUUUAUUUGCUUUACAUAAUUUAUCUUUCUAUCUAUAAGUGAAGACUGAAUUUAGGAUUUGGCAAUUAUUGAUGGAAUUCCUUCCUUCUUUCUUGAAGUGACAUAAUUUUUUAUUUAUUUUAGGAAUUUCUUUCAGAUAUGACAGAAUUGAUAUCGCCAUGAAAUCUUUUUUUUUAUUGCUUUCUUCUUACUCCUUACGUAUAAUUCACUCGCUGGGUUCGGCUGUCAGUUUCAAAUCUUGAACUAGAAUUGAUCGAUAGAAGUGCUUAAGAUGGAGGUGGAAGCAUGAGUUCAGAGUUAGCAUCGAAGGAUGAAAAAAGACCCUCGGUUGAAGUCCCAUCAAAUCCAAAGGGCACAUGUAGCCAUGCCAUGAAAUACAAAGGGCUAGCCAACAAAUGAUAAGAAGGGCAUGCAUGUGAAGCAAGGGGAUUGAGGGCAGCCGUCCGGCGAUUGAGGACCGCACAUAUCAAAGAUAAAGAAUAUGAAAACCGAAACUAUUUAAGUAGAACUUGGAUAUACUGACCGGGAGGCUGAGUUGAAAGUAAGGCUUUAAGCGAAUUAAGAUAGACAAUACAAUAGAUUCUAUCUAACUAAGAUUUUCAGUCUUAAGCUAAUCAGUAUUGGUAAGACGGGUACGUAGACGCACAAGAGAGGUUUUCUAGUCUUUUAAUUGAAUAUAGGGGGCAGUGGAAUCUAGUAAAUGGGCUAGAGUUUUUCGGUCAGUGACGAGCGUUUGGUUUGAGGCCCUGCAUCGACUAGGCCUCCCGCUGAUUGAGGGAAGCGAUCUGUCUUAAACAAGAAGAUUUUCCGGGUGAACAAUGAGAUGGCAUGUGAAUAAGUGAUAUGGGGAGAAGGAAUCAAUUCUUGUACGUAUGAUAUGGGGUUGGUACGAUACACAUAUGGUGAACAGUCAAAGUGAGGGAUGGGGUCUAGUUAAAUACGAUAUGGGGAGAUAUUGGAUACAGCUAAUGUCGAUAAGGAAGGGAGGGAAGGAGCUCUUGCCUUCAACUCAGAGCAGAACGUUCCUUCCGCAACGCAAGGCCUAUUUGCUUUCGUAGCAGCCAAGGAUGAGUUUGAUCCAUUAGGUUCUUCUAUUUGUUCAGAAAAGAAACGAGAGACAAGAAAACAUCUUUGAUUAUGAUUAAAAGGAACAAUCUAAAAUAGACCAAGAUCUAUCUAAUUUCGGGUCAUUUCUUGGUGAACAUGAUCUGCCAUAAUCUCUUCGAUCCCUUCAUUUAUGUGCCAGAAAAAAGAGAGAUUUGGUAGGAAAGUGGAAGAUACUUUUUUAUAUGAUAAUCAAAGGGAGUGAGAAAGCUGCAGUAAUUCUUUGGAAAAGCCCACUUCUCUUUGUCUUCGAGCUUGAAUUCUCCAAUCCACUGAUUCGUUCCUUCAUAUACCUCCCCACCAAUAGAUAGAGACAAAUGGGAAUAACCGAACCACGUCUACAAAAUGCUAGUACCAUGCAGCUACUUCAAAGCCAACGUGAUGCUCCUUGGUCAGACGACCAAGAUAUUGGAGAAUACCACAUAUGAUCGAGAAAAUAGUACCUAUAAUCACAUGAAAACCAUGAAAGCCAUUUGCUAAGAAAAAGGUAGAACCAUAAAUACUAUCCGAAAUUGUGGGGGGUGCUUGAUAAUAUUCCAUUCCUUGAAAGGCGGUGAAUACUAGAGCCAGUGUAACGACAGCUACUAAGCGUAAACUGCUCGUUUUUCCUUCCCCGCGAGUAUAGCAUGAUGAGCCCAAGUUACGACAGCUCCGGAUAAAAGGGGAAUAAGAGUAUUAAGAAAAGGGAUUUCCCGAGGAUCUAAAACCGCAAUCCCUUUUGGGGGCCAAAUACCUCCUAUCUCUACCGUAGGUGCCAAAGAAGAAUGAGAAGAAGCCCGAAAAAGAGCAAAAAGGAACAUAACCUCCGAAACGAUAAACAGAAUAAACCCAUAUCGAGGUCCUAAUUGUACGACUUUGGUAUGAUGUCCUUCCAACGUGGAUUCACGUAGAACAUCGCGCCACCAUACGAACAUGGUAUAUAGGAUAAAGAUUAGGCCCAAACUGAGAAGUGUUGCACCCCCUUGAAAUGAAUGCAUGUACAUCACACCUCCUACGGUGGUUGCCAAAGCUCCGAGUGAACCCGAAAUAGGCCAUGGACUUGGAUCUACCAAAUGAUAAGAGUGCCUCUGAGAUUCAAUCAUAAACAACUUUGCCUCGGUUGCAUGUAAACCCCCAUUCACCCCCGCCGCCUAAAGUGGUAAAGAAGGCUCUUUGGGGUCUCUCUUUCUAUUUGACAGGACAAACAAAUAGGAAGGGAUGGUUCUUUCAUUGCAAGAAGUCUAACUAGAAAAGGAUAUCCCUAUUACUUUGAGAAGAGAAUUGUUGGUUUGACCGACGAACUACAUGGGAAAAUGGAUCUUCUUUCUUUUUAGAAAACAUUUUUUGAAAGUAACAAUUCCAUUCAGUUCGGUUUCGGAAAACUUUCCGCCGGGGCCUAACAUCAAAGGCGCAGGUUGAUCUCUAUGGUUGAGGCUGCAAUUCAUUUUUACACGUGGGAAGGGCUUACUCUACUAGAGGCUCGGCUUGGUCUCGCUCCCUUCCCGUACUAUUCCUCCCCACUAAAAAAAGAGCGAUUGAGAAUCUCGAGAACCUUUCUGAACGUCUGUCUUCGCGGGGCGAUUUGAAGAGGAGAAGGUAGUCUUAGUGGGCUUUUGUGGAGCGUGAAAAAUUGUUGGAAUUCUAUGAAAGAGUCUCGGGAGCCAGGAUGCAUGCCAGUUUCAUACGACCAGGUGGAGUGGCACAAGAUCUGCCUCUUGGCUUAUGUCGAGAUAUUGAUUCCUCCACACAACAAUUUGGUUCUCGUAUCGACGAAUUAGAAGAGAUGUCAACCGGCAACCGUAUCUAGAAACAACGAUUAGUGGAUAUUGGUACUGUCACUCCACGCAAGCAAAGGAUUGGGGAUUCAGUGGUGUAAUGUUAAGAGGUCGUGCGACAUGAAGACAUUGAUAGCAAUAUGGGGGAAGUUACCAUCAGGCAACAACGGUUCUGCCUAACCCUACUUAAGCAUGCAUAUUAUGUUAGUGAAGACUUGGUGUGAAGCCUUGGAGCUUACGUUAGAAGAGCAAAAGGCCGGGGGCUAGGGUGAACUGAGGGGGACAGCGUAAGUGAGUGAAUGUGUGUAAGCGCAGUCAAACAUAACUGUUCUAAGAGGGGUGGGCCACCCACCUUCGAAUGGUGUUGGUCCUACAGACUGUGAACGGAUUCGCCUCUGGCCUAUGGGCACGUCGGAACCGCAUGAGUUCACCGGGGUGGAGCACGGUCCGCCAAAAUCGGCAUAGGUUAGGUGCUAUUGAUGGAACAUGGUAAGCCUAUCUUUCUCCAUAUGGAAGUGUUGCGGGCACAUAGAGAUGUGGGUAGAGGAAGCCUCAAAAAGCAAAGGCCGAGCUGUAGGUCACGUGACCUGCACCGAGUUGGUGGCUGACUGGGCUUUUGAUUUGAUCAAAGCAGAGAAGCUCGCCUUCUUGUUAUCCAAAAACAUAAGUAGGUCGAAUCGGUCGGGCCCCUGCCCCGGAACGCCGAAUGAAAUAGGUGGUCGGGUUCUUUUUCUACGACCCUUUUUGUAUGGUAGGCGUAGCCCCAGGACCCCUAUCCCUUUAGGAGCGGGAUCCGCCCAAGAACGACCUUUCGGUGGUACGGAAGGCACGGACUCCGCGAACGUCCCUAGCCCCUUUACUAAUAAGGAAAAGAAAGCCUCAACCAGAACCACAUUCCUUUUGCGUGCAGAUGUAGCUAAGUGUCUGACUCUAUUGAUCAUAGUUUCCUACUGUUGCGGCCGGUGCUCGUUUGCGUACACGUGAACCAACCCAACAAACAAGGAAAAGAUGCCUCUCGGGGCAUCUGAGAAUGAUUCGAGCCGUAUGAAGGGAAACUCUCACGUACAGUUUCUUUUUUUGGGGGGGAAGGAGCCCGACAGGGUCCCCCCACUGACUUGGCCCGGGCCUAAGUGAAAGUGAAGUGGUGGGCCUACCCAUCCCAACCAGGGGUGUGCUAGGAUUCACAAAGAGCAGCACCUUACGAUGUUCAUGACCAAUCGAAUCCUGACGUACCAGUAAGUACCAGAGGAUAUCGCUAUGAUCGUUACUGUAGUCGUAUCGAAGAGAUGCGACAAAGUGUUCGGAUCAUUGUGUAAUGUCCUAAUCAAAUGCCUAGUGGAAUGAUCAAAGCCGAUGAUCAUAAGCUAUGUCCUCCAUCACGAUCUCGAAUGAAACUAUCCAUGGAAUUGUGUGCCGCGUGAAACAUAGGUCGCAAACCGAAGAAGGUAGUCUCAGUGGACUUUUGAGGAGCGGGAAAAAUUGUUGGAAUUCUAUGAAAGAGUCUCGGGAGCCAGGAUGCAUGCCAGUUUCAUACGAUAAUCAAAAGGUACAACGGCCCGAGCGACCAGACUUAACAUAAAUCUAGCCACUGGAGCCAUUCUAAAAAGGGAGAAAUUUACACUACUUGGUGAAAUAGGUUCUUUUAUAAUCAAUUUAAAACCAUCUGCUAGAGGUUGUAACAAUCCAAAUGAUCCCACUACAUCAGGACCCUUUCGACGUUGCACAAAAGCCAUUACUUUACGUUCAGCUAGCACUAAAAACGCUACUCCUAGUAGAAGUGGUAGAAUUAUUCCAAGUAUUUCGGCUAGAACUGCUAUGUAAAUUUUCUAUUUUCUAUUCACUUAUGAUCUGUCCUAGUCGACCCGAUCAUGAUAUUUCACUCAGGAUCUGGCUUAGUCGACCCAAUCAUGAUUUUGAAGGAUGAGACCUUUCUCGAAAAAGAAAGGAGAUUUUAUUUCUUCUUCCAAGCCCUUCUUAGAAGAUGCAGUCAGUAAGCUCUCACUUAUCUUCUUCAUUUACGAAAAUAGAUAGAUAAGAAAAGAUGUCAGCCUCCUUUUCUCGCNUAGAUAGAUAAGAAAAGAUGUCAGCCUCUCUUUUCUCGCGGAACACUCACUUAAUGGGGCUAUUUGAAUUGGAAGACAACGAAAAAAGUGAAAGAAGGAGGUCUAUUUCGUUGAUCGAUGUCAAUGGACCAAGAAAUCUGUCCUUUGCUGAAAGCUCAUAGGGUAAGAAAAAUGGAAAGGUAGGUUUUGUCAGUGAUUAAAUGGGAAGGUCAGCUGGAGUGAAAACCAAUCAAACUCAGAAAGAUAGGUAGAUCGAGCGCGCUGAGGAAAUUCGAGAUAUCCGGAGACAUGGCCACUACUGGCCUACGGUCCUUGCAGAUUACAUAGCACAUGCUAAGAGCUGUGAUGCCUGCUAGAGGUAUGCAGGAAUCCAGCACAAGUCAGAUUUCGAGUUAUACACGAUUAUAAAGCCUUGGCCAUUUCGAGGGUGGGCCAUGGAUAUCAUCGGAAAGAUCUAUCCCAGAUCUUAAAGAGGUCAUACUUUUAUCCUAGUAUAGUAGCUACGGCCCAGCCUUCUCCACCUUAUGCACUGGGUAGAAGCCGAGCCUCCCCAGAAUGUGACUUCUACGGAGGUAAUAAGGGUCUGGUAUAUAUUACUUCUAUUCGUCCGCUUAUGCAGUUCAUGUAGUGAUUUAAUUUGUGUCUGCUUCUACUAGUCCCCGUCGCGACGUUAGGAGACAUACAUUGGGUAAUUCCAAGACCACACAGGCCAUAGGUAACGGCUCUUAUGCCUUGCCAGCAGAAAGAAAUCCAGAGACCAUCCUCCCUAUCGCCCACCCAAUGCUUACUAUCGAGAUUGGUUCGCCGGCCUUUACUCCCAUUCCGAAGUUUCCAAAUUAGCUUUAGAGAUUGAGCAAGUGUAAAAAGUCUAGAGUGAUCUGGUUUGCGCGGCUUUCGGGUUAUGUCUACUAGAAUAACAACCCGUAGUCUAGUUGAAACCCUCUUUUACAAGAUUACAGACUAAAAGGACUCGCUUUCUUUCUGAAUCCGCUUUCUCUAUUGACAUAUAAUAGUCUCGACUUGAGCCCUUCCUCGAAAUAAAACGGCGAAGGAACGCCUUCUCUCUCGUGCUAUGGCUUUGCUUGAGACUCCCUUUCUUCUUAGGUUUUCUGUAAGUCUAGUUCGUGGUUCACGGGUGACGUUACCUGGAUAGAUGGGCAAUUCCUAUCGGUGGAGCUAAGACACCUUCGAGAGAUAUAGCUCCAGCUCUUGAUGUGUGACAACCCGAAAUUUCCAUUUGUACGAACAAUAUCUAUUCAAUAGAAGUCAGUCCAAUUUCAGUGAUUUUCAGACUUUUUCGAACAAGUUAGUGUACAUUAGGGUUUACACUUUAGGAGAUAUCAGGAGAGUGGAUGCUCCAGGGUUUGUGAAAUUUGAACAUUUCAAGUUUCAUAAAGUUACAGCCCAAGUUCAAGAAUAAAAAUAUUUUCUGUCAAAAUAUUUCAGGACUAUAAAUAGUUUUCUGAAUUUAUUUAAUUCAUUAUUCACAAUUCCAUCUAGAGAAAAGCCAUUUUCUCUCUGACAGAUCUUCGGGUUUUUAUCCCAGAUUGUGAGUAACUCUUUCUAGUAGUGUUAGAUUACAUAUUUGAUGCUUAUAACAUGAUUUAGUGGGCUAAAUCAUGAGANUUCCUGUCCUUAAAAGAAGAUCUCUCCGGUUGCUUCCUUCUCCUUGCUAAACUAGAAAUGAUCUCUUACGACUAGCAUUGCGAUUCACGCAUCUCGCACAACCGUGCCUGAGAUAUUAGUGGUGAAUACUCUUGUAUACUAGCCGUCUCACAGGUUCUCGUUAGCAAGGAUAGAGAGACAAAAGGAUAGCUUCGAAAGUAGGUAGGCUAGGGAGAUGCUCAAACCGGGGCUGGAUCGAAUUCCUGUAAGACUUCUAUCCUUUUUCUCUUUCUUUCUUACUAGAUUCCCCUGCCCCCUAUAUUCAAUUAAAAGACUAGAAAACCUCUCUUGUGCGUCUACGUACCCGUCUUACCAAUACUGAUUAGCUUAAGACUGAAAAUCUUAGUUAGAUAGCAUCUAUUGUAUUGUCUAUCUUAAUUCGCUUAAAGCCUUACUUUCAACUCGGCCUCCCGGUCAGUAUAUCCGAGUUCUACUUAAAUAGUCUCGGUUUUCAUAUUCUUUAUCUUUGAUAUGUGCGGUCCUCAAUCGCCGGACGGCUGCCCUCCAUCCCCUUGCUUCACGUGCGUGCCCUUCUUAUCAUUUGUUGGCUAGCCCUUUGUAUUUCAUGGCAUGGCUACAUGUGCCCUUUGGAUUUGAUGGCACUUCAACCGGGGGUCUUUUUUCAUCCUUCGAUGCUAACUCUGAACUCAUGCUUCCACCUCCAGCUUAAGCACUUCUAUCGAUCAAUUCUGGUUCAAGAUUUGAAACUGACAGCCGAACCCAACGAGUGAAGUAUACGUAAGGAGUCAGAAGAAAGCAAUAAAAAAAGAAAGAUUUCACGGCGAUAUCAAUUCCGUCAUAUCUGAAAGAAAUUCCUGAAAUAAAUAAAGAAUUCUGUCACUUCAAGAAAGAAGGAAGGAAUUCCAUCAAUAAUUGCCAAAUCCUAAAUUCAGUCUUCACUGAUAGAUAGAAAGAUAAAUUCUGUAAAGCAAAGAAAAGAGAAGGCUUGAAAUCAAAUCCAUCUUAAUACGAAAUUUUGAAAUAAAAAAUCUUUCCACUUCCAGCGCACCUCCUUUCCAUGCUACUUCUUUCUUUUCCACUUCAUGACCAGGAAUUAUAGGUCGGCAUUUCUUUCAUUCCAUCAAGAAAGGCACCUCUGGACGUCUGCUUCAACUNGGGGGGAUACAAGUACAAACAAACACGUUAUUAAAUCAUUGAUAUGUAUUUUAUAACUGUGUUUGUCAUUUAACAGAUUUCACAUGCUACAAAAUGUGAUGCAUGAAAUGGUUUUACAUCCUAACAGCACAUUGUUACCAAAUGUUUUACUUUUGAAAUGGGUAUUCAAAUGACAUCAAGUCAUUGUUAUUUAUUGUUCAAAACCCAUGAACUGUUUUACAAAACCAUUUUUUUUCAUUCUUGAACUAAACUAUGCUUAUACACUUAUGUUCCGNGAGAACUGCAUGUACUAAUAGUCGGAUAGAAGCCUACCAGCCUACCUUGUUCAUAUCGAGCCGGACAGGAGAGACCCUCUUUCAAGUUAAGAGAAGCAAUUCCGCUUGAAAAUAGGCGCUGUAAAUCAAUUCAAAUAGAUAGGGGAGUUCCGAACCAGCAGCAAGCCCUUUCUAAUGUCCUAGGCGAAGGCAGUGCAGGUGAAAGCCCAAUAGAUCCCAUUUUUUUGAUCGCUCCACAUAGCUCACGACCCGGCACGAAGAAAUCUCUUAGAUGGGCGGAUGCGAAUCUGGAUCUAUCAACGGAGCAAUUCCAUUCCAGUCGUAGUCUCAAUCCCAUAUUCAAUGUGCCGUCUCCGCCGUGUCUGACCCCCUCAAUCUUUCUAUCCGGAGUGAGUCAGGCGGCUAAGCCUUUCAUCCUGAUAAAAGAAAGAGUUUUCCCACCCUCCAUAAAUGGAAUCGGUUUGAGUGAAUUACUUACCGCAGUCAAAGCCAAUAGGGAAAGUCAGGUCAAGAGAGAGUCUCUUUCCGAUUAGUGCAUCUCGCACUUCCAAUUCAUUCCGAGUUAGAAAAAGUAAGUUCCUUCCCGGGUAAAGUCCUCUUAAAUGGAUUACUAGUUCCUUCCUUCCCAAUCAAUGCUAACUCUAUCUUCCUCUCUUGUAAUUUAGGAGAUUUCCCCAGCCCAUAAAGAACUGUAGUUACAUACAGCUCUCAAAAGAUAAAAAGAGAAAGAGCUAUGACUUCAAGUAAGAAAGUGAAAGUUCAGUCCUCACCGCCAAAAAGAAGACAGCAACAAUCCGUACUACUUCUCUCAGUAAAUAACAUUCUCUUAGUUAGAGAGUAAGUAGAUAGACGGAUUAGUACUUUUACCCAGGGGUAGCCUUCCUUGUCGCCAAAGAAGAAUGAGAAUUGAUAAAGUUUUCUUGGGCUUCAAUAGCAGAAGCAAAGAAGUCAAAUCAAUGCAGCUUUCGUGCCCAGCCUAAAGAUCCUAUCCUCGCAGCAGCUGGAGCUCUUGAUGGCACGUUCAAGCGAGUUUAUGAAUGAAUGAAAUCAGUUGAAGGAGCGGCCAAGGACGAAAGCUUUGAUUGCGUUCUGCUAUGGUUGGCUUUUUUCCUUGCCUAAAACAACUAUCUUCUCUUCGCGAACGGUUAAGAAUCCUCUUUGUAUGCGCGUUCUCUCUUGUUUAUUCUUCUAGUUUUUCCUUCUUAUGCUUAUGGGUGAGACUCCCUUUCUUCUUAGGUUGUCUGUAAGUCUAGUUCGUGGUUCACGGGUGAGGUUACCUGGAUAGGUGGGCAGUUCCUAUCGGUGGAGCUAAGACACCUUCGAGAGAUA
rnacentral:lncRNA from 1 species